rnacentral:misc_RNA from 1 species
AAGUCGUAACAAGGUUUCCGUAGGUGAACCUGCGGAAGGAUCAUUAACAAUUGUCCAUUGGAUGAUUAAAAUCCAUAUCCACCUUCGUGUGCAUAUCAUCGACAUGUUUGCUUUGGCAGUUUGCAGGGAGAUCCUUUUACAGUUUCUCCGUGGAAGGGGAAUGUUGUGGAGAGAUAGAGAGGGAGACACAAGGAGAGAGAAGAAACACUUUUUUCCCUCUGCUUUUCUCCUUCCUUCUCGCUUCACUUUUUCCUCCAGCACUGCCAGAGUUUUUC